CCCCUCCCCCGUUGUGCCCCGCCCCUCUAUAUGAGCUGAUGAUGCGUUGCUGGAGGCGUGACAUCAGAGACCGCUCCUCCUUCAACAGCCUGCACCAGGCCUUACGACUCCACUCUCCCCGCUCCUGACUGACAUACGCUUCAACCAGUCAAGCUACGAGUGUGAGCCCGACCCGACCAAUCAGCUCAGAGUGUGAGCCCGACCCAACCAAUCAAGCUCCGAGUGUGAGCCCGACCCGACCAAUCAGCUCCGAGUGUGAGCCCGACCCAACCAGUUAAGCUCCGAAUGUGAGCCCGACCCAACCAGUUAAGCUCCGAAUGUGAGCCCGACCCAACCAAUCAGCUCCGAGUGUGAGCCCGACCCAACCAGUCAAGCUCCGAAUGUGAGCCCGACCCAACCAAUCAGCUCCGAGUGUGAGCCCGCACUCUUUCCCCUGAGGAGAACUAGAAACUGGACGCCUUUGAUGCGUAGCGGUGGAGGAAGAGAGAAUCAGAGACGAUGAUGAUGUCAUUUCGAGACACUUUUCUGGGCUUCGGUUCUGGAGCACUGUUACCGUGGUUCUGUGCUAAUCAUAAUUUAGCAUCAGAGAGUGAAGAAGAGGCCUGUUGGGACUCCAGGGUGUGGCUCCAGUCCAUAGACACUUGAGAAGUUUUUUGUGUGUGUGUGUUGUCUAAAUUUUUUUAAUAGUUAUUUUCAUUUCCUGUCCUGGUGAUACGUUGUGUCUCUGAGCCUACUGUACACUCAUGGCCUUAAAGACACCGUUCAGCCCAGAGUGAAGUGUACACAAGUGUAUUUUAAUACUCUGAUUAAGGUGUGAUGAUUUAGACCCGCGCUUUGGACAGGGCUAAACCGCCGGCUAUAGGCUUCCAUUACUUAUCAGCUACAUUAGCCUCAAACGCCAUGUUCUGGCUGAUCAGACCAAACUGUGUACAUUUCAUUUUGGCUGAAAUGUUCCUUUAAGGAACCAACUGGAGGAGUGUGUGUGUGUGUGUGUGUGUGUGUGUGUGUGUGUGUGUGUGUGUGUGUGUGUGUGUGUGUGUCAGCUCUGUGGUCCCUCAUCGCUCAGCACUACUGCCUGUGUUUAGUGUGUGUGUGUGUGUGUGUGUGUGUGUGUGUGUGUGUGUGUGUGUGUGUGUGUGUGUUCACUCCCUCCCCACACUGGAGUUAUGAAUGAAUCCUGACUAUAAUGUGGAUCGUUUAUUUUUUGUGUGUUUAUAGUUGUCUGUAUGUGAAUGUUCCAAAGGUUCUUCUGAGUGAGCAGAACUACUGUCACAGCUAAAUGAACAGAGAGCUUUCCUGAGAGAGAGAGAGAGACAGACUAUCUAGCUCUUCUUCACCCAUGCUGCAGUAUCGCAUUGGUCUCGUAGGUUGAGGGUGCCAAAACUUCCUGUGUACUGUUUCUGAUAUUAAAGACUUUAAUGUGCACAGCACUCUGACAACUUUAUAGCACACCUCGAGCACCUCCAGCAGUGCAUUAUGGGUAAGGAGCCUUGUCCGAAGCUCCUGAGCAUCCCGGUCAGCUCUGAUAGAUCUCUAGGACGUUGUGUAAGGCACACAUGAACCCAAACAGGAGAAAGAGUACUCGGUGUGUAGAAGACGAGUACCCGAGACCUGUGCGCUCUCGUUCUUUGCUAAAGGCACAUGACUCUGCAGAAGACGUGGACACAGUGUCGAAUUCCUCUGAGCAGCACAUCUGCCUUCUCUGGUCACGCAUAUUAUUAUAUUUAGCUUUCAGAAACUGUUCCUGUGUGCACGACGUCUCCUUCAUUCUGUCUCUGUUUUCAGUCUUUAGUGUGUUCGGCGUUUCUCCACUUCCUGCCACUACGUGUGUGUGUGAUCUCUGUUAUAAAUGGAGUGUGUACGGUUGUGGCGUGUACAUAAGCAGAACAGAUGUGUGUAAUAUAUAUAUAUAUAUAUAUAUACGGGGAUGAAGGAGGACAUGUUUGCAGCACAGCGUUUCUCUCCGAGCUUUUCUUCUGCUCCUGUUUUCUUCCUUUUCAUUAAAUAUCAGAUCUGACUCCACCAUAGUGUCAUGCGCUGAUUUGUCAUCGUUGUAGCUUUCUAAUUCCAGACUAUAUUUCUGAAAGUCGUCCGUCAGGAG
ensembl:lncRNA